rnacentral:lncRNA from 1 species
GAGAAACAACCUAAUAUUUGUCUAUCGUCAACAAUAUACAUCAUAAUGAAUAUAACAUUCAAACUUUAUUCGAAUGACUUCGAUGAGAAGUGACAUCGGGGUACCUGUAAAAACACUUAGUAAAAGUAUUAGUACUAAAUAAAUACGACUAAAAGUAAAUGAAUUAAACAAUAACUUGAAAAUAAAUAUUCGUCUUAUUAAAAUGAGAGGCCUUAGAAAUCGACGGUAAUUUCUUCAUCGGCCAAUUUUAACAGACAGUACAUAUAAACUUAAACUAAAUUUUCAUCUUUUACAAUGUGAAAGCUUCCAAAAUCGAUGGAGAGAUUUUCUCAUUGGCCCUUUUUUACAAAUAAAAUAUAUACACUUAAAUUAAAAUUCCGUCUUUUAAAAUGAAAAGGCCUCUAAAAUCGACGGAGAGUAUUUUUCAUUGGCCAUUUUUAACAAAUAAAAUAUAUAAACUUAAACUAAA